GAUGAACGCUGGCGGCGUGCCUAAUACAUGCAAGUCGAGCGAACAGACGAGGAGCUUGCUCCUCUGACGUUAGCGGCGGACGGGUGAGUAACACGUGGAUAACCUACCUAUAAGACUGGGAUAACUUCGGGAAACCGGAGCUAAUACCGGAUAAUAUAUUGAACCGCAUGGUUCAAUAGUGAAAGACGGUUUUGCUGUCACUUAUAGAUGACUCCGAGCCGCAUUAGCUAGUUGGUAAGGUAACGGCUUACCAAGGCAACGAUGCGUAGCCGACCUGAGAGGGUGAUCGGCCACACUGGAACUGAGACACGGUCCAGACUCCUACGGGAGGCAGCAGUAGGGAAUCGGCCGCAAUGGGCGAAAGCUUGACGGAGCAACGCCGCGUGAGUGAUGAAGGUCUUCGGAUCGUAAAACUCUGUUAUGAGGGAAGAACAAAUGUGUAAGUAACUAUGCACGUCUUGACGGUACCUAAUCAGAAAGCCACGGCUAACUACGUG
rnacentral:rRNA from 1 species